GACGAACGCUGGCGGCGUGCUUAACACAUGCAAGUCGAACGGAAAGGCCCUGCUUUUGUGGGGUGCUCGAGUGGCGAACGGGUGAGUAACACGUGAGUAACCUGCCCUUGACUUUGGGAUAACUUCAGGAAACUGGGGCUAAUACCGGAUAGGAGCUCCUGCUGCAUGGUGGGGGUUGGAAAGUUUCGGCGGUUGGGGAUGGACUCGCGGCUUAUCAGCUUGUUGGUGGGGUAGUGGCUUACCAAGGGUUUGACGGGUAGCCGGCCUGAGAGGGUGACCGGCCACAUUGGGACUAAGGGACGGCCCAGACUCCUACGGGAGGCAGCGGUGGGGAAUAUUGCACAAUGGGCGGAAGCCUGAUGCGGCAACGCCGCGUGCGGGAUAACGGCCUUCGGGUUGUAAACCGCUUUCGCCGGUGACGAAGCGUGAGUGACGGUAAUGGGUAAAGAAGCACCGGCUAACUACGUG
rnacentral:rRNA from 1 species